UACGGAGGGAGCUAGCGUUGUUCGGAUUCACUGGGCGUAAAGGGUGCGUAGGCGGUCGGGUAAGUCUGAUGUGAAAUCUCACAGCUUAACUGUGAAACUGCAUUGGAUACUAUCCGGCUCGAGGAAUGGAGGGGAGACUGGAAUACUUGGUGUAGCAGUGAAAUGCGUAGAUAUCAAGUGGAACACCAGUGGCGAAGGCGAGUCUCUGGACAUUUCCUGACGCUGAGGCACGAAAGCCAGGGGAGCAAACGGG
rnacentral:rRNA from 1 species